GAUGAACGCUGGCGGCGUGCCUAAUACAUGCAAGUCGAGCGAACGGACGAGAGGCUUGCUUCUCUGAUGUUAGCGGCGGACGGGUGAGUAACACGUGGAUAACCUACCUAUAAGACUGGGAUAACUUCGGGAAACCGUAGCUAAUACCGGAUAAUAUUUUGAACCGCAUGGUUCAAAAGUGAAAGACGGUCUUGCUGUCACUUAUAGAUGGAUCCGCGCUGCAUUAGCUAGUUGGUAAGGUAACGGCUUACCAAGGCAACGAUGCAUAGCCGACCUGAGAGGGUGGUCGGCCACACUGGAACUGAGACACGGUCCAGACUCCUACGGGAGGCAGCAGUAGGGAAUCUUCCGCAAUGGGCGAAAGCCUGACGGAGCAACGCCGCGUGAGUGAUGAAGGUCUUCGGAUCGUAAAACUCUGUUAUUAGGGAAGAACAUAUGUGUAAGUAACUGUGCACAUCUUGACGGUACCUAAUCAGAAAGCCACGGCUAACUACGUG
rnacentral:rRNA from 1 species